rnacentral:misc_RNA from 1 species
AGGCACGGGCUCCUUUUUACGUUGCCUCCGGCCAGAGAACGGAAUAGGAAACGAUUUCGAGUGUGUCGACUGUUUUCUAUCGGUUGCAGAGAGAAGCUCGGAAGCGGGUCAAGUGCGGGUGCAAGCGGAGAAAGCAGAGCAGCGGUGACAGGGGAAACGUCGACGAAGAAGAGGAGAGAAGGAGAAGAUAAAGGGAGAAAGCGAAGCGAAUUCGUACGGGGCUGUGCAUUAGCGAGGAACAAUAGAGGGAUAGCGCGAGUUCCACCAGAGAGAGAGAGAGAAAGAGAUCGCUUUAUUAUCGUGAACGGUUCCACCCCCGCAUUUCAUACGUCUUAAUAAAGCACCGUUUCUUCAUCCACGCAGUUCGUUCUCUAUCUCUGUACCCUUUAGCCGCGGCUUUUUGCCGAAAAGCAGCUUGGUUGUCUCCCAUCGAAUGUGCCUCUUUCGCGUCGCCCCUCCUGCACCCUAAGCCACCUAUUAUCCUCUUUUUAUCGUGAGCCGGCCGACUUGCACUCGAAAGCGGUUAACACGAGCCAAGAAGUAAAGCCGAAUGUAAUGUGUGUAUUAAGUAGAUAACGCCAACUCUUCUUAGU